GCGGGGCUCCGUGUGGAAGCAGGACCAUGAGGACCCAACUGCAGGACUGAGGCCUUGAAAAUCCAUUAGGAAACCUAUUGUGGUUGGAAUUUCGCUGCUGUGUCGUCUCUGGGUUUGGUUUUGAGGAGAAGAGUAUCUAGCAGAGUGUAGCCAUCCUUCAACCUUCUGCUCCUCUCCUCAACUCUUCAUCAAUCAACAAACAGCUGGAACAGUGAUAAAUCGUGUGUUAACGCAGUGCCUUCAUACCUAGAAAAUGGGACUCCCAGCUACAGAUAAGAUAAUGCUCUCUAAACAGGGCUGCUAGUCCUGCAAUAAUCAGCUGCAUAGUCUUUGCCUUGUUUAUCAGCAACCAGAGUGCACUUGGGUUCUGUUGUUCCCCUCUUCUCUGUAGCUGCGAUGAACUAAUAAUGCUAUUGUCUUCCUUUAAUCACAUUCCCCUCUUUAUUACUUAGAAGUGCUAUGUCCUUCCUAGGAUUACUUGUGUAAGAAUGUAUAGGCUCAAUCACUGUUUCCAAUGAAAACAUCAAUCCAAACCCAAUGAAACCCAAAUAAAGCAUGGUUUUGAUUUUGA